CAAUAGCGUAUAUUAAAGUUGUUGCGGUAAAAAAGCUCGUAGUUGGAUUUCUGUUGAGAGCGACCGGUCCAUACCAUGUAUGCGUAUCUGGCUUGCUCUCGGCAUCCUCUCGAUAGACGUUACUGCGCUUGAUUGCGUGGUGCGGAUCUCGGGACUUUUACUUUGAGGAAAUUAGAGUGUUCACGGCAGGCUUUCGCCAGAAUACAUUAGCAUGGAACAAUACUAUAGGAUCUUGGUUCUAUUUUGUUGGUUUCUAGAAUUGAGAUAAUGAUUAAUAGGGACAAUUGGGGGCAUUCGUAUCAACACGUCAGAGGUGGAAUUCUUGGAUUGUGUUGCGACGAACUACUGCGAAAGCAUUUGCCAAGGAUGUUUUCAUUGA
rnacentral:rRNA from 1 species